ACAAACACCCUCCCAAACAGUUCUGGUAACUACACCGUCACUGUUUUCUUUUCACCCGUCUUUUUUUCUCUAUUAUUCUCCUCGCUUCACUGAGCCGAACCCUCGACGUGUCGAACACUUUUAUUCGUUUAAAUAUUGAAGUCGUCUCGGCGCACUUUGAAGCUUUGCUGCCCACUUCAGCCUAGCCGAGCCUAGCGGCUAACGAGAAGAACGCGUCGAUCGUGGAAAAUGGACGGGAGAACGACACCGGUGGCAGAAAAAUUCCCUGAAGAACUUUGUAACGUUAAAGUUGUUCGUCACAGACGAGAAGCAGUCAGCACUUCAGCCGGCAUCACCCAAAGACAUCGCUUUCUCAGAGCAGGACAACCCCAAAGAUGACACCAGUGAAAACACACGGGUCUAUAGAAGAGGAGUUCCAAAAGCCUUACAAUAUCAGGUCAGAAAAACACAAGAAAAUAACCCACGCAGUGGGGAUUUGCAUUGCAAAAGACAUGCAACCAUAUUCCGUGGUUGAAGAUGUGGGCUUCGUUAAUUUAAUUGCAACGCUUGACCCGCGUUAUAUUGUUCCCUCGCGGACAUAUUUCGCCCACAACAUAAUCCCCGACAUUUAAGAAAUGGCACGCAAAGCCAUUGAAGAUGAUUUCACGAAAGCACAUAGUUUCGCCCUGACCGCUAAUAGUUGGACAUCCCGUGCUACAGAGUGCUACUACCUAACUGUGACGGUCCACUAUAAUUCAUACCUGUCAAGUUGUACGGUCUCGUCGUAAUUUGUACAAGUGAGCACUGGUUUUUAAAUGUGUACGCCGUCCGUUACGUCCAAAAUCUGCACGUUUUUCGUGCAUUGCGUUUUUGUUUUUUUUCAUCCGUUCGGAUUUGGUCACCGUUUCAGCAAGGAGCCAAUGUUCGUUAACCCCUUAACGCCGAAUGUCGCGAUUCGGCAUCAUACCGUUCCCGCUUUGAAAGCGGCCAACAUAUCGUCUGCCUUUGUUCACUGCCGGUACAUUAAUGUCAAACACAUGCCUAGGAACCUUUUUCAAGCAUUAGUUUCAGUCGUGUCCGACCAGAGACAACACCGCUUCCUUUUCCGGACCGUGAUAUUCAAGAUGAAAGCCACGUCGAAGUCCUGCGCACCAACUUGACUAAUUCAUUCAAUUCAAGAAAUACAAAUGAAUGCAGCAGCUUUUUACGCAAAGCUAGCACACUGGGCCAAACCACCUCCUGUUGAGAGUGCUCUCAGUGAGAGUGAGGGCAGCGAUGAGGAGUACAAUCCUAAUAAAGCAAGUGAAGGUGAUGAAAGCAGCAGCAAUGACUCUACAGUGGACAUUAGCAGCAGUGAGGAAGAUGAUGAUGAUCCGCCUCAUCCACCUCCAACCACCAGUGCUGCACCUGCAAGACCUGCAAGAGCUACAUCAAGGGCAGAUCGAGCCUAAAGCAAUAUAUCCCAAAAAAAGCCAUACAAAUUGGGAUACAAGAUUUUUCUACUGUGCGACACAAGAGGUCUGGUGCACUCAUUUGACAUAUUCACAGGGAAAAUAGAUCCGGUACCAGGCCAACCAGACAUUGGAGCCAGUGGUAACAUUGUGCUCAAGCUUGCACAAGUCAUUCAUCCUGCUGUUCUUUGAUAACUGGUUCUCAUCUGUAGAUCUGUUUGUUGCUCUUGCAAAAAAGGGCAUACCUGCACUUGGGACCGUGCAGCACAAUCGCCUGCGUGGGUGCUGUUUCAGUGCAGACUCAUAGAUGAAGAAGAAGCGAAGAGGGACAUUUGAAGAGCAAGAGGCUCUUGUGGACAAUGUCUGCAUAAGAGCAGUCAAAUGGUUUGAUAAUAGAGGGGUGAUUGUUGCCAGCACAUUUGCCAGUGCCCUGCCUGUUAUGAUAAAAAUAUUCUUUUAUUUAUUUAUUUACAUCAUAUGUCUUUUAGUCUGAUUAAAGAUGUGAUGUACAUCUGUGUUUAAACAAAAACAAUAAUUGAUUUUCAGACUUUCACAAGCAGUGAAAAAAGAUGUUGCGAUAAAAGUGUGUUCAGACCUGAGAUGGGAAUGUGCCUUUUUUGCCAUUUGUUUUCCUUAAUUGCCUGUUGUCGCUAAUCGGCAUCAUACCUAAAUGUAUGACUAUUUUAUGGGCUAUAUUCAAAUUAACACUUUCAAUUUAAUUUAGCAUCUAUUUGAAAGUAAAAACACACCCCAAUUAUUUUUUUUAUUAUUGGAAAAAAAUUUUAGGCAUUAAGGGGUUAAUACUUGAAUGACACGAGAAAAGUCAUACACGGAGAGGGAAGAGUGUUUGUUGAGACGCUGUAGCAAACGCGAUGCUAGGCUAGGUGGCUCCAAUUUCCUGACCGUGGCCGACAUCAUACAAUCUACGCCUAGAUAUCUCAUGCAUAUAGAACUAAAAGCGAAAUGACACUCGGUAGCGUUAGUAAACAGCCGCCAUUUUAGAGCAGUAUACUUCUCAGAAAGGCUUUGUUGUAGUAAACCUUAGCAACUUUUUAUCCAAAAUACUCCUAAAUCGGCAAAAUCUUGACUUGAGUCUAUCUUUAAAGGAUGAAACAGUUAUAAAAUUUUCACAUGUCGAAAGUAGACGGAAGGGAACUAAGGCAAAAACGGGAGCAAUUUUAUCAACUCUAUCGGUUGAUUCACAACAUUAAAUGACCUCCAAACAUAGCAAAGGUUACUAUGUUUUUUUUUUGUUUUUUUUUAAUGAAAAAAAAACAUGAAAGGUAUCACCAGUUACUUUGCCAAGUAACUUUUUUACUACUGUGUGUGUAUUUCAGUAGUCAGUCACUACACUUGCUAAAGAGCUAAGAGGCAUUUUAACAGUCAAAAAUGUUUAAAUUUUAAGUGUUUAUGUCAUUUUUUAAAAAAGCAAAAUAAAGGCAGUUUAAUAAAAAAAAAAAAAAUUAAAUUAAAAAAAACGCAAACCGAACCGAAACCGUGAUCCCAAAACUGAGGUUCAAACCGAACCGUGGGCUAACUGAACCGUUGCACCCCUAAUAUUUAGAGGGUUUUGGGCUGAUAACCACAAUUAAGAUCAUUGCUAGGCUAACCGCCGACAACAUACAGUUUCAAAUUCGAGAUGCUUAUUUCUUCCACCAUCAUUAUUUUUUGAAUAAUAUUUAGCUGGUUCCAAGUGAAAGAAGUUAAACAGGUGUGUCCAAACCUUUUGCAAACGGGGCCAGAUUUGGUGUGGUAAAAAUGCGGGAGGCUAACAUGGCUGAUUUACAUAGAACAAUAUAUUUAAACAAAUUUUAGCAAGCCCUUCUGUGUGUCACAUUUGCUUUAUAUUUUUCUUUUAAUUCAUAAUUUCAACAAUUUCGUCUGUUUGGCGUUCUCUUUCGACACUUUCGACACUGUGCUGUGAAAUUAAACUAGCUUCAAGUUGCUAAAAUUUCUCGCUGCGUAUCUUCCCUGUAAUGUUGUCGUACUUGUCAGCGUGUCUUGUUUAGUAAUAUUGCGUCACAUCGAACUUUUUGAAAACGGCGACUGUCUCUUUGCAAAUGGGGCAGACACAGUUGUUGCGUGUUUUAUUGAAGAAAUAGUCCAAUAUCCACCUAUCCUUGAAGCGUCGGCCAUCGCAGUCAACUUUUUUUUUUUUUAUUGAUUGUCGCCAUUUUAGAAAAUUGGAAGUAAAGGGUCACGCGGGGUAAUGUUGCUAAGAGUGCUGCUCUUAAAGUUUUUCAAACUUUCGUGAGAAUAGGCUGAUUUUGUGUGGACAAGAUAGUUGUAGAUAUCAGGGUAGCAGAUGUCAGGCAGAGAGGGCGAAGACAGCGGGUCGAAAAAUAUCGAUUUAGCCAUCAAAUAUGGAUCUGGCGAAUGGAUAGACUGAAGCUUUUCCACAUAACGCCUUUUAUGCAACGCAUCCAAUGAGUUUACAGCGUCUGAAAGCACCGGGGCUUCUAUGAAUUGCACCAUAAAUUGCACGACAAAUUGAAACCAUUGAGAAUACGGAUAAACACAAACGGACAAUAUGGCGGCCGGAUACAGCGACACGUCAUUCUGUGACGUUGGUGAGUAGGGUCUAUAAUGGUAGGCGUGGCUAACCGGCAGAUUAAAAGACUAAUUUCUCGUCAUCUGCGCUUUGCUAAAUUGUUGUAUAUAGUCGAAUCGUCUCAAAAUAUGAUUCUAAUUCACAAAAUAAUCCUAUUUAAGACUUUUUUUCUCCUUUCGUACGCACUUUAAGUCAUUUAUUAAACGGUGACACCUUUUCUGUGCAACAUUGCUGUAAAAUAUAAAUCUACUGCAAAUUGUGUACCUGCACAUAUAGAGGAAACAAACCACAACCACCGAUAUCUCUUGGAGAGAUCAUGAUGACUGGUACCCUUAAUUUCUUUAAAAUUUUAAAUCUUAAAAAAAAAAAAAAAAAUUAACAGUGCUGUAGGUGUCAGUCAGCAGUUGAGCUUGGAGUGAUUGGAGUAAGUAAUUUGUUACAAUUCUACUUACAAACAAGAUCCUGGAACCAUUUAACUUUGUAUGCAGAGAUACCACUGUACCUAAAUAUUUCAUUAAUAUAAUGCAGACCCAUGGAAGUGUAGUCUAGUCCAGGGGUCACAAUCCGUACCGGUCCACGGCGCAUUUGCUACCGGGCCGCACAGAGGUAAUAUUUUAUUAACGACCGCAUUCUGGCCAAAUUAACUUUGGCCUGUGCCACUGCUUAACACAUCAAUAUCCCUGUCUACUCUAGAUAUAAUACUACAGUAUAGAUUAGAAUGUCGUCAUGGAAAUCCAUUAAUUGGACUGCAAGCAGUACAUCUUGUUUUGUAUAUAUAAUAUAUCUAUGUGCACUUGUCCUCCAUAAUAACGUAUGACUAGGCCACGGGUGCAGCACAUUUGUUCCCCCACACGAGCCAAAAUGAUUGGAAAACAGACGUCUUUGGAGAGAUUUUUCACGGCGAAAAAGGGCACCUGACGAGACAGAAGGUGAGCCUACAACCUCGAAGACUCACGAACUGCGAAGGAGUGCAUUCGUGACCCGUUUGUGAGUAAACCCAGUGAUUCGAGCAUGUCUGUGCAACAAGGGGUUCAGCUUGUAGAGAUCGCAAAUGACGGCAACCUUAAACGUACAUUUGAGACAAUUAAAGUCAUUCCGGAAUAUUCUAACAGCGGUACGAGAACACUGCAAAUCAUGCUACAAUUUCCAACAUCGCAUCUUUGUGAAGCGGGCUUCUUAAUUAAUGCUUAACGACACGGCCAAGGCGUUAACGGUGAGAGAACGGUGUGCAGCUAACAUGGCAGGAUGGGUCUGAGGAGAACUUUUCUACGUAUUCAUCCACGAUCAAACGUAAGUUAAUAUUCCUUUCUUUAAAGAAAGUUUGUAGUGUCUUUGGAAUUGCUGCAUUCGCCGCCAAUGGCCGCGAAUGCGGUAAUUUAACGUGCAUCCGCAGAACCGCAUAGUUGCAGUUUUUGAUGGGUUGCAAAAUUUGUCAAAACACCGGUCCGUGAAAAAAAGACUCAAAUCACACCAGUCCGUUGUGUAAAAAAGGUUGGGGACCCCUGGUCUAGGCAAUACACACACGCUGUAGGGUAUGUGCUCGUGUUGUAUCGGUCGUGAACGAUUCGUUCUUUUUGAACGAAUCACCUUCUGCACUGAUUCGUUCUAUGAAGUUGGGGCUUGUUAGCUGCGUGGGAGGGCGUUUAACAAGCGGCAGCGUCUUCUGACAUCGCACACGACCAAUCACACGCCAGCCUCAUCGUGGGCAGGGGAGGGAGCGGGAACAGAAUCAGGGCAUCUGUCCCUCACUUCCAUGUGUGGCCAAUAAGCAGCCAGCGUGCAUGCAGGGGGCAAGACUGAGUUAUGUCACUUCCCGUUCACUUACUCUGUCCUCUGGCUCCUGACCGAGCUUGUUGUUAACUUGGACUUUCCAGUCAUGCGGUGAACAAGUCAAAAAAUGAAAGGAAAUGACUUUGUCACAUAUUUGUUAAUGCGGAGCCUAUCAUAUGCUGCUCAAACAAACAAAAACACCACACAAACCUAGCGAGCAUGGUUUAGUGUACUACCUUUCUCAACAGACUCGAGACUACAUAUGACGACAUACUAUCAAAUUUACAGUAGUUUAAAACACUUUCAUGGGUAGCUACGAGGCAAGCAAAAGCUGAGCUGCAGUCGUGUGACGGCAGUGCAGGGGGAGAGAACUGUCAUUGUAUGGAGGCAUGAUCUCCAUAAUACUGAUUUGCAAUGAAACUGUAUAUACAUGUCCAUUUUUUCCGAGUGUUUUAUUUAUUUAUUUCGUGUCGGGUGUUGGUUGGUUUGACAAAUUAUGUCCAUCCAUCCAUCAUGUGCUACUCAAGCGCCCAAAAACAACGCACGCGGGCACGGGAGAUGUCGCAAUAUGUUUACGUUUUUCUUAACAGACUAAUGAGAGUAGAAAGGCGACAUCGUAAAGAGCAAACAAUUAUUUCUCGUUAGCAUUUGACGAUCUGAGAUGAGGGGACAACAGAGGAGCUGACCGGAUUAUUUUAUUUAUUAAUACCAGUGAUUUGCAAUGAAACUGUCUAAUAUCAAAAUGUAGUAUUGUUUUCAUUUCAGAGCAACACAUUUGACAACUAGCUAUUUACACUUUAGUUUUAACAAUAGUUACCAAAAAUAAUAGCUAUGAGCAUAAAAACAAAAACACAGCAGAGCGUGAAGUAAAUAUGAUGUGUUGGUCGUUCCAUAUUUAGAAAUUAAACCUUCGAUUUAUUUUCGGGACAGCAAGCAUACCGCGUUGGCUGGUAUCAGCAGCAUUGUAUAUGUGAUCAAGAUCAUGCUAAAGGAAGUCUGUGUGCCCCCGACCCUAGAGCUGGGAAUCUUUGGGCACCUAACGAUUCGAUUACGAUUACGAUUCAGAGGCUCCGAUUCGAUUAUAAAACGAUUAUUGAUGCACCCCCCUCCUUUUUUUCCUCUUUUUUAAAAUGUUUUGUACAUUAGUUCCAAAAUUGUUCAAAAAUACUCUCAGGCUAAACCACACUACUAUUUUAGUAUCAAGUUAACAUAUAGCAGUAAACAAAUAUACAAAAAUAACAUUAAAUAAAAAACUCCAGUCCCCAUUCUGUAUCUGCAGCUUUAAACUACAUUCAAUUAAUUUAAUGUUGUGAAUCAACCGUUAAAUUUGUUAAAAUUGCUCCCGUUAUUCCAUAAUUUCCCUUUUGUCUACUUUUGACAUGUGAAAGUUUUAAAACUAUUUUAAAGAUAGAUUCAAGUCAAUAUUUUACCGAUUUAGGAGUAUUUUAGAUAAAAAGUUAAUUAGGUUUGCUUGGAAGGUUCGCUACAACAGCCUUGCAGGGAAGUGUACUGCUUUAAGAUGGCGGCCGUUUAUAAGGGGCCGGGUAAUUGGAAGCAUGAUGUUUAGCUACUCUCGCUCCGUUCCGUCCCGAAGACCGCGCGGCGCACUGAGUGUUGUGUACUUCCGCUUUACUUCACAUAUUUCAAUAAUCGGAAUUUGGAUGUUUGUGAAUCGUUCUCGAAUCUUCCACGGCCAAAUCGCGAAUAAUCUAAGAAUCGGAAAUUUUGCACACCUCUACCCGUCCCCAAACCCCAACUCCCCCCACAAAAGGAAAAUGUUCAACCGCGUCCUAAAUCGAAAUGCAAGCACGAGCCAUGACUUUGAUCCCAUAGAAAUACGACAGACGACGCGGAAGUUCUCCCUCGCUUUUGCAGCAGCAGGAGGGAGACGAUGCUGUGAAAGCAGAAUGAUAUCGUCUGUCACUCAUUUCUGAAACUACGACGGGCGGUCAAUGAGGAGCCUGUGUGCAAGAGAGGGAGGGACCAAGCAAUGUCACUUCCCGUUCAGUUAUACUGCGAAGCGGUCUUUGGUGAUUCGUUCGUCAACGUCACUUCCCGUUCACUAACCGAACGAUUCAUUUGGGCGGGGAGGGGGAUGAGGGCGGUGAACGUUUCGUUGAACGAUUUGUUUGAAUGAUUUGUUUGAACGAUUUGUUUGAACGAACUGGAAUGGAUUCGUUUCCUCAAGUGAACAAUAGAUCCCGUCAUUACUACUGUGUGCCAACUAAACAUUUUUAUAAAUUCUUAUAAAUACAGUUGUCAUUGACAAAUUUUUAUUCCCACUCAAUUAUUUGCCUCAGUCAGUGUUCUAGAUUGCGUGCAAACAAUAACCGAAAUAAACAGACAAACAAUUCAACCACCAUGUUUCCAAACGCAGCAGUUCAAAACUCUGUUUCCCAUAAUGCCUAGUGCAGCUUUGCUCACUGGCAGCUACCCUAUUAGCGAGCACCGGUAGCUGAGGAAAAAAUCAAAUAUUGCUAUAAAAGUUUACAGUCAUCGGCAGCGCAAUGAUUAGAGGUGGGAUCUUUUGGCACCUAACGAUUCGAUUAUGAUUACAAUUCAGAGGCUCCGAUUUGAUUAUAAAUCGAUUAUUAACCCCCCCCCCCUUUAAUGUUUUGUACAUUAGUUUCAAAAUUGUUCAAAAAUCUUCUCCAGCUAAACCAAACUAAUGUUUCAGUAUCAAGUUAACAGUUAAAAACAGUAAAUAAAAUCCUCAAGUCACAUUCUGUACCAGCAGCUUUAAACUACAUUCAAUUACUUUAUUUAUGUGAAUCAACCGUUAGAGUUGUUAAAAUUGUUCCCGUUAUUCCAUAAUUUCCCUUCUGUCUACCUUCGACAUGUCAAAGUUUUAAAACUGUUUCAUCAUUUAAGAUAGAUUCAAGUCAAGAUUUUGCCGAUUUAGGAGUAUUUUAGAUAAAAAGUUGAUUAGGUUCGUUUUACCAUUACAACAGAGCCUUCUAUAGAAGUCUACUGCUUUAAGAUGGCGGCUGUUUACAACGCGGCAACUACUAAAUGGCAAGUCUAUCAUUUCUCAUCGUCGUUCUCUUGACAUGAUCUAACGCCGCCAUCGACUGUCAUUUUGCAUUUAAUGCUACACAUAUAUGAUAUGUACUAUAGCCGUAUGUGGCCGUAUGUUUGUAGCAACUAGCAACUGGGCGUUGUUUGAAGCAGCUGUCGGACGCAGGUAUUAUUGUUUUUUAUAUCUAGCGGCAUGAGUUGAACAUGAUAUUUACUCUCAGUCCGUUCCUCAUUGCGUCCCGAAGACCGCGCUGACCAGGGGUAGUGUUAACCGAAUAUUUUCCGUCGUUGACCGAUUUUUUAAAACGGUGACGGAAAAAACUGAAGUCCAUCUGUCAUUUUGACAGGUUGCAAUUCACACCCCAGGCCACAGGGUGGCGAGUGAGCAUAUUAAUUAGCUAUUGUCUCACUUGAUGCAUGACGUCGUUGGCCUUACUGAGAAAAAUGUCAAGGCAACUGAGUGUUUGCCUGGCACGGCCAGACUGUUCUCCCUGUAUUUUUCAAACACUGAGAGAAAAGUCUGGGACACAGCCUCUCGAGUAGGUACAAAAUCAAUCGACAAAUCAGAUUUGUUUAUUUGCGUGACGUGUUUUUCACGAGCAACGUCACUCUUGCGCGCCGAAAGUCGUCUCUACAACAACACGGAUGGCGAACGGGAAAGCCGAGAAUAUGUUCCAAUCCGCGGUAAAUUCCGUUUUAAAUGAGCUAAAACUCAUCGACACGAGUCAUUGACAACAGUCUGUCUCGCGCUAGCCAUGUUGAAUAAACUCCGUUCUCCUCGUAUGUUUACUUCCGCGCCAAGUCCCUCGUCCUGCCCUCGUCGCUUUGCUAACGGCAUGUCUGCCCGUCGCUGAUUGGUGCACUCCGCUGUCUGUUUGCCUCUUGUUAAGCUUGUUCGGACAGAAUAUUAAUUAAAAAUGAAUGAAAACUAAAUACUAUUGAAUAUGUCAUUAUUAUCAUUUUAAAAAUGUAAGUGACAGGUAAAAAUAGAUUAUGACCAGAUUUUUAUGACACUCUCAGUCAAAAUGACAGACAACGAAAAAGUCUAGCGCAACCUCUGGCGCUGACUGUUUUAUUUCUGCUUUACCUGGUAUAAUUCAAUAAUCGGAAUUUGGAUGUUUGUGAAUAGUUCUCGAAUCUUCCACAGCCGAAUCGCGAAUAAUCUAAGAAUCGGAAAUUUCGCGUGCCUCUAGCAAUGAUGCAACAUCAAACGGGAUUUUACUAGGGCUGUCCCAAACGACUAAUUUUCUCCCGAUUAGUCAGCCGACUAUUUUUACGAUUAGUCGACUAAUCUAAUAAUUAAAAAAAAAAUUUUUUUUUUUUUUUUUUUGUUUACUAAUUUAGCAAUGAAAUUUUUGUUGACGCUUAUCAAUUCACAAACGACAUAUUGGAACACUUAAAUUAUUUAUUAAAGUACAAAUAAACACGUAAAUAACAAUAAUAAAUCACAAAUAAACAAUGAGUUAAAAUGCUGAUAGAAUUAACUAGUGUAGCAUCCCGAUUGAAAAGAUGGUCUCUUAAACUGAUGGUUUACAACUUUUUUUCCAUCCUUGAUGUAAUCACACUGUAAGAGCUAUGGUGCACACAAAUAAAACAACACAAUUAGAAAUUAACAUAAAUUUUUCACCUUUUUCCUUUAAACCCUUUAAGGUCUGGGCCUAUUUUGUCUGAUUUUGCAUGCCUUUGAAGUUGCCUUUAUAUUUCAAAGACAGAAUUGUUUACGAUGGCCUGGUUUGGUCCCUUUUUUUGUGACACCUUGAACUUCAUGUCCAAACUGUUGUUUCCUUCACUGACCAAUUAUAAAUCAUAAUUUUGGGCCCAAAAAGACCAAAAAUUCCAAAAUCGUUUUGUCAAAAUUUUUAAUAUUGAUGUCCAAUUGACAACCAAACAUGCGUAACGAACCGUUUUGAAACUUUGUAAUAUUUAUUCAACAUGUUAGGAUGAACAUUCAACCAAAAAAAAUUAGAAUAAAUAGUCUUUUAUUUGACAAUUCAACAUAAACAACAGGUAUAGCCAUAGGCGUUUUUUGCAUUUAUACAUGCUCUAGUCAAAACAGGUUAUAUACAGCAGACCAAACAGUGAAGAACAGUGAAAAAAUAUACCAUCUAACACAAAAAGUGUUUAGAGGCCAUCUCUUUAUGAGUUUAGGUAUUGCGGCCCAUCACCUGAUGAAAACUAUGUACACACAAUCAAGCUUCUUGAACACACAUUUAUAUACACAAAUUGAGAAGACUGAUUGUGGGAAAAAAUAUAUAUAUAUAACAUUGGGGAAAAAAGUAUUUUCAAAAAUAUUUACAAUAAACAAGUUAAAUUUUUUUCAGGCAUGCCACUCCGAAAAGCAGUUUCGUCCUGGAAUUAGACACAGGGCUACAUCACAGCCCACACUUCCAUGGGGUGUCGGUCCUCUUUCCACCCUUCCGUUUUCAUUUCACUUUACUUUCAUUGUCACUAUAAAUGUACAUGAAACAAAAGUCAGUAUUUAUGAAAAUAAUAAAGUAUAAAAUAAAAAUAUAUACAGCAAUAAAUAAUAAUGGAAAUCUAUAUGUAUGACAAUAGAAAGAAUACCGUAGCUGAAUAUGUGCUACAUCCCUAAUCUUCAUAUAGAAAGAAGACCACAAAUUAUACUUUGAUCUGAUAUGCACAUUUUAUUAUUACAUACACAAACACGCACUUAUAUUGCAUCAAAAUUAACUUUGUCUUGCAAUAUCAAAAGAAACUUUUACAGCAUUAAAAAAAAAAAAAAAGUGAGUUGGCUUACCUCUGCUCGUCGAUGGCGUCACCCACGUGUUCAAAUCCGUCACUAUCUUCACUCGAGGACUCUUCCGAAGAAGACGAUGAUGACGAAUUUGGACCACCCUCUUCCUCAAGUUGAUCAAAAAGCACAAUUGCUUGCGCUAAAUUUAGUUUUCCGUUCAUCCUCAAAGUCACACAAAGUCGCUCGCCCGCUUGCUUGAUUCAAACGGCCGUCGCUCGCCCCCUCGCUGCGUCAGAACACUCCUGCCUCUCGUUCGGUGGAACCUCGCACGGCAGUUAUAUUUAUAAAAAAAAAAAAACGCAUUUUGUGCUUCCACUGUGACUUCGAAAGGGUUCGUUUGAUUUGUGUUUUUUUCAUGGAGCUUCCGUUUUGAAAAAGGACAAGAAAUGAUGGAAAUAUAGACAUAAACAAAUGAUCCAUGCAGCGUUUUAAUGUUUUUUUGAGAGGACAAUAAAACUAUAAAACUUAAAUGACAAUAUCUCACGUUUUAGUUGGUCGAUUGACUUCAAAUAACAACGAGAGUAAACCGCAACUUCCGCACUUUAAAACGAGACCAACCAACGGCAUGUGGGUGACGUAAUUAAAACGCGAGGGUGCUUCAAGGACGACGUGCGCUGAGGACGCGCCGGCGCGUCCUUCGACUCUCAAGGGUUAAACCUUAUUUAUAUAUCAAUGAAUUGCCUAUAUGAAUUGCCUUUACCUUAUUUUAUUACCUUAUCAUUGACAAUCUCUCUCUUGAGUGCAAUCACUGUAUACACUGUAUAUAUUUAUGACCUUUUAACCUUAUAUAAUUUUCUAUACCAUAAAAUAAACCAUAACAUGAAAUAAACCUUUCAGUUAGCAUUAAGAACAAUACUAAUAGCACUUCAUAGGCCCAUUGUCAAUGAAACAUUAUUAUUUAGUAAGGCGACAGCACCCUCUGGUGUACAGAAAAUGAAAAAAAAAAAAAAAUUUACAAAC